UCAUCCAUCCAUCCACCCAUUCAUCCUCCAUCCAUCUACCCAUCCACCCAUCCAUCCAUCUGCCCUUCCAUCCAUUUAUCCAUCCAUCCUUCCUUCCACCCAUUUAUCCAUCUGUCCAUUCAUCCACCCAUCCACCCAUCCAUCCAUCUACCCACCCAUUUCCAUCCAUCCACCCACCCACCCCACAAGCAUUUACAGAUCACAUCUCUGUGCCAGGUAUGAUGUUUUCCUCUUCCAAGAAAAUAAAACAACAAGCAUCAGAUACAAAACCCAAACCCAUCAAUCUAGGUCAUUUCAACUGUAUAUAUAUAUAUUUUUUGGGGGGAUCACUUGUAUCUUGAAUUAUUCAAUUUUCCUGUAAACAUUUAAUUGUGUUAUUAGUGAAGCAUUUAUUCAGUUAUUCCUGAAACCUUCCAUGACAAAAUAUAUUUUUAAAAAAGUGGGACAACUAAUUUUACCCCCAGAGGAGAGUCAUAUUUUGCAGUCAGUGAAGCAUUUGAAGCAGGCCAAUGCUGGUGUGUCCCCACGGUGGAUGGGCAUGAGAACGAUCCCCUGUGCAGAGCGGCUGCUCCUCGAAUCAGGUGCCGCCUCCUUCUCUUGCAGGAUGCUUUCCGACAUGGCUCAGUGGGACGAGGCCUACACUAAGGGGCGUUCACUUGCUUUGAUUCCCCAGGUCCUGUCCCUGGAGGAGCUCCCCACUGGGGUAGCAGUGGCAGAUGCAGUGUUCUCUCUUCACGGUUGCUCCUUGAUCUACUGUAGACGAAGAUUUGCCACAGCUUAUUGUAGCCACACAGGGCACCUGCUUGCAGGGUGGGGAGGGGCACAAACAUGGAGGAGAGGCCAGAGAGCCUAUAGAUAAAGGGGAGAUAACUGUACUGGGAACCGGUGAUUCAAUAAUGACUGUAAAUUGUCUAUUGAAUUGUGUAUGUUUGUGCAAUGAUGUCAUCACAGGCCCGAGAGCACUGCCGCUGUAUGUCAGCGCCGAGUGGGUUCUGAGGUGCGGCUGUCGGCGCUCCUCCCGGGGCCAUCACCAUGCACACCCAUCUGUUCUCCUGCUCAUUUCACACUCACAGGGGCUGGCACAGCACAGGCCAGCAGAGGCCUUGACCACAGCAUCCCAGUGAACCACAGCCUGGUUCUGCCCACCUCUGCCUCUGGCACAUGGUGACAUUUGACAAUUUCGCAAGAGGCCGUGAUGCCUCAGGGCCCCGUCCCAGGGAGCAUGCUGCUUCCUCGGAGCUUCCCCAAAUGCUUCACUGAUUUCAGUUUUUUACACUGGGCUUUGAACUUCCUGGAAGCGUAGACAAACUGGAAAGCCAUGGUCGAAGAGGCUGCUGCUCUCUGAUAAAGGGAGGCUCAGCAGCACGCCGGGAGGGCGGUGAGUAUCUUCCCAGUGCUGAAGUCCAGGCAGUCUUUGUUGCUGCCUCUGGAAGGAAGCCACUUAGACUUCGAAUGGCUGAGGUCUGCCUUGUGGAACCGCAGAAGACGGUGCCCUGGGUGAGUGUCCUGGGGCCGCCACACAAAGUACCACAAACUAGGUGGCUUAAAACAACAAACUCAUUCUCUCACAGUUCUGGAAGCCAGAACCAAGAUCAAAGUGUGGGCAGGGCCCUGCUCUCAAAGAAGACUCCAGGGGAGGGUCCUUCCUUGUCUCCUCCUGCUCCUGGGGGCCCCGAA
rnacentral:lncRNA from 1 species